rnacentral:lncRNA from 1 species
CCAGACACAAGUUGCAACUCUGUCAGGAAAGAGUGAAGUAUCGGGGUCCUGCUCAGUCUUGGCUGUGGGGCACUAAAUGUCUCAUCUUUAGUGAUGGUUGGACAAUGUGAUGUUAUCAGGGUUAAUGGUGGUGCAGCUUAAGGUUAUGGCCACCAUUUUGUGUAAUGCUUCUUCACAGUUUUCCUGUUAAUGCCCAAGCUUGCACAAUGGCUGAUAUGAAAUGCAUGUUGAAAUAACAUGAAAAUAACUUUUUCAAUUCAAGUUCAAAUGUAAUCCUUUUAUUCGGACAGAGCUGUCUUCAGCGGUGGAACACAACAACAAUGUUAUCUCUCUAGUUUUCCUUUUCCACUAAGGACUACCUGGCAUUAGUCUUACCGCGGGUAAUACCUUUAACAUCACUGACCAGAGGAAUACACUCUACCUCUUCAUCCUCUCACGCUACAGUACAGCUCAAGACAUUUUUCAAAUAGUUUUUUUUUUUUUUUGCUGUAUAGCUCAAUACAAAUAUUUUCAAUAACACAAAAUAUUGUUUCUUUUAUACUAUAAAUAUGUUCUGAUUGUAUUAUUUAAUGUAUCUUGUAUUAUGUUUGCAAAAGUGUUCUAAAUGGAAGUUCAGGAAAAGAUUGAGACAAAUUGACCACAUAGUAAGUUGGCUGCAGCUCUUUUUAUCUGUGCCCUACACACACGCAGAUGCACACUCACAAUCUCUAUCUCUUUUGGACAGACACACACACACACACACACACACACACACACACACACAUAGACAGCAGGCACAUGUUUGGCUUGCCACCAUGACCGUUAGGUUGUGUCGACAUGAAGGAGAGAGAAGGACUCUGGUUGAUGCUUGUCAUUUUGCUUACUGGCCAAAUGACUGCUGCUGGAUGGUCUGGUUCUCCCUUGGCAGUCCUGAAGGGCCCAGAACUAGCAUACCUCAAUGACAAAAUCAAUUUUUCCUGUGAGGUCCCGGAUUCACCUCCGUCAGCCAUCUACCAGUUCAUGAAGGUGAAACACCCAUCACCAAUUGCCACAAAGACACAUGUACCUGCAGGGGACACUCCCAUAUUCUACUUAAAGGUCAAGAGUUCAUCAGCUGGGGGAUAUUACUGCACAGUGACAGCCAUGGGAAACACAAGUACCAGCAACAUUCUAAACCUGCAAGUAGGGAUUCCCGUCUCAGGUGUCAGCAUCCUGUCUAAGCCCAGCCCCCCUGUAGUGUCUGAAGGGUCCUCCCUGACUCUUUACUGUGAGGCCCAGAAGGGCUCCAACCUCUCCUACACAUGGUACCACAACAGACUGGAAGUGAAAGCUCCCUCAGUCAUGUAUCUCCUCUCCGGCAACUCACUCGUCGUGGACAAGCUGACCCAGAGGCAUGCUGGGAGUUACACCUGCACUGCAUGGAACUACAUAGGAGUCAAACCACGAACCUCCAGCAGCAGUGACAUGCAUGUGACUGUCCAAGUCAACCUUUCUGCACCAAAGCUGUCAUUCACCCUCUUCAGAGAGAGCUUGGAUUACUAUGGCAACCUGAGUUGUGCGUCCGCUCAGGGCACGGUUCCAGUCACGUUCCUGCUGCUCCUGGGGGACCAGGAGGUCGAGCGCCAACUCACCAACUCCCUGGCGGUCUGGUUCAGUGUGCCGAUGACGGUGGGAAUGGACAUGGUCACAGCACAGUGCAGGGCAGAGACACGUUCCCAACAACUAACCAGCAACCUUCUGAAUCUAGAAAUGGCUCCUGUAGGGGGCGCUGUGCACCUGCACACUGAGUACCUGUACAACACUGACUGGCAGGUGGUGGCAGUGCGCCUGCAGUGUGACAUCAGUGGAGGCACCUUCCCCUCCUUCUCGUGGCUCCAUGACGACGCACUCCUGCUGCAGAGGGACUGCUCUGCGUUCUCUACCGGCCAGUGCCAUGUCCUCUUCCUGACCGAGGUCACAUCAGUGACCUCUGGGUAUUACCAGUGCCUUGUGAAGGACAGCUUUGACAACAAUUCCUCUUGGGUGCAGAGUGACAAGGUCCUUGUGGAGGCACUAGACUUCCCUACAACUACUAUUGAGGUCAUAGCUGUUGGCUUCUGUUGCACCUUGCUGGUGAUCAUGAUGGGAAGCCUGGUCUGCAUACUCUGGAUGUUUAAUUGUCAAGUCUUGCGAUCAGAAGGUGUGACCGCACCUGACCAGCGCAGUGAAGCCGUCACCAUGCCAGCAUUACCACUCAGAACUGACAAUAUGGGAGAAGCGACCGCCAGGGAAGAAAUGGAACUGUCCUCCAAACUCCAGUAG